GAGACAGUAGCAAAAAUUGAAGAAAAAGAAGUCUCCUAUUUUCAUUUCGAUCCUAAAUUACUAAGGUAAAAAUGUUACUUUUUAUUCGAUUUUUGUGAAUUUAUAAUCAUCCAAACUUAGUAUGUCUUACACAUGUGUUAGAAUUUCAAAUCAUUAAGUUAAAUACAAGUUGUCAUUAAUGGAUUUUUUAUGAACUUAAGCUUGAAAUUGAUCCACGUUUAAUUAUUAAGUUUAGAUUUUGUUAAGAUUGAAUCAAAAGAUAGUGAAAUUAGCUUAGAUUUAAAGGUUUAAGUAUAUAGUUAAUUUUUUAUAUUAAUGACUAAAUUGAAUAAAUUGAAAGCUAUUAAGAAAUUGUGCCAUAGAUUAAAAGUAUGAGGUCCCUAGUGAAUAAAUAUAAAAUCAAAAUUUGAUUAGAUGCUAAAUAAUAUCAAAAGAUACGAGCAUUUCAGAUAUAAAGACUAAAAUGAAUAAUAUACAAAUUAUGUUAAAUCGUUGUGUUUCAUGUGUUUGUGUGAAACUAAUAUUAUUUAUUAUCAAAUUUAUCGUACGUAGUCAAAAACGACGUUAAAUUUAUCGUAUGUAGUCAAAAACGACAUUAGGUAGUCUUGAGAUAAAGGAAAGGCAAAAAUUGUAUACGAGUAACCUAUUUUUGUUUGUGCUUUCAUGAUUUGUUUUCAAUACAUAGCUUGAUAAGGGUUGAAUUGAUUAACGUAAUGCUUAUAUUCUUGUCUCAUGAAAGGUGAGCAAACUUAUAUUGUGAUUAAAUUAUGAAAGGUCAUGAAAGUAUAAACUAGUACAUAUUAUGAGAAUUGAUAUGUAAAUGAUUUGAUUAUGACAUGAAAUUCCUAUACAAUGACUUGGGACAUGAAAUAUAUAUAUAUGCUUUGAAACAAUUAAUAUCCCAUUAACGGUCCUGGAUUGAGUUGGGUAUAGUUGGCGUAUCAUAGGAUUAGUGUACGGGAUUUUACUUUGAUUUAUACCGAUGAGGCGUGGAGCGCACAUUAUACUUCAAACGUACUGAUUAGGUGCCAGGCACAUUUAUAUAUUUACUUCGAUUUAUACCAAUGAGGCGUCAAGUGCAAUAUACUUCGGAUGUAUCGAUGAUGCAAUGAGUGUUAAUUAUAUUGGUGUGAUGGUUGGAUGAUUCGUGUAUUCGUCUUGAGUUUGUGUCCAGUUAAUAGGGAUUAUAAAAUAUGCAAAUUGAUAAACGAUAAUGAAUAUUGAAUUGAAUGAUGAUGUUGAUUUUUGUAUGUGUAUAUUAUAGCAUAGAUAAUAGCAUGUGAAAGAUCAUGUGAUAUGGUUAUAACAAGUGUCGAAACCACCUUUUUGAAAACAAAAAGGUUCGUAGUAGUCGACUUAAAAACGCAAUUUUGGGAGUCGCCACCGAUCUUUUAAAGAGGUGUGAUCGGGUCACCUUGGAAACGAUUUUAGGUCUACGAAUUUUGAGAAAAUAGGUUCGGGAGUCGGUUACGCACGAGGAAGGGUUAGCACCCUCGUAACGCCCAAAAUUGGUACCGAACCGAUCGUUUAAUGUCUUAGUCUCGAGAAUUUGAAAAGAUUUUAAAAUACGAUCCUUCCUUUUUAUUAAUGUUAAUUUUAUAAAAGAUGCUUGGAUAAAUCGAGGCGAAUGUUAAAGACCUUCUCAUAUCAGAGUAAUGAAAUGUCACACCUAAUACAUUAGGACACAACAUUUUUAGUCCUCGAGAAUAAGCUUGUCUUUUGAUUUUCAAAACUCUUGCGGUG
rnacentral:lncRNA from 1 species